AUACGUAGGUCCCGAACGUUGCGCGAAAUUACUGGGCGUAAAGGGUCCGUAGGCGGUCUGGUAAGUGGAAGGUGAAAGCCUGGGGCUCAACUCCAGAAUUGCCUUCCAAACUGCCGGACUUGAGGCAGGGAGAGGUCGGCGGAAUUUCCGGUGUAGCGGUGAAAUGCGUAGAUAUCGGGAGGAACACCAGUGGCGAAGGCGGCCGACUGGAACUGUCCUGACGCUGAGGGACGAAAGCCAGGGGAGCGAACCGGAUUAGAAACCCUAGUAGUCC
rnacentral:rRNA from 1 species